CUGUGCUCUCUGAUUUCCACAAUAGUCCUUGCGGUUGGGAGUUGUGGCAAUUUUUCAGAGGACCUUGUUCAUUAGUGGAUGAUUUGGCAGAUCAGAUAGUUGAGGUUCUAAACUAUGUUAGGAAUAGAUUACUUAUCGGUUGCAGCUCCGGAGCAACUGAUUCCCAUUGAAGUAGAAACAGACUCCACAGAGGUCCUUCACCUGUACAACAUUCACAACCUACUUACCAAACUCUUAUUACUUCAUGGGGCUGCUUGUUGAGGAGAUUAGAGAGUCUAGUGUACGACAAACUUCUGCCGGGGCAACGAAGUUGUAGAUGUUUUGGCAAAGCAAGGCAAAAGUCCAAGCAGACAAAGAUGGUUAGAAUUUAGUAAAUCAUUAUGUCUAUUUAUGUGUUGUAAUAAGUUGGCUAGUCUUGAAAGAAUGUGUAAUCACAAGCAGAGACUGUGAUAAUGUAGCUUCGACUACUGAUGUAAUGGUCUAAUAUUAGUAUAUUUCUUGUUAUCAAGAAAAAAAAAACAA